CCUUGCAUUAUCAAAUCAGUUUAGUUUUACCUUUCUUAAAAAAAUAGAACAGAAUAGAAAACUGCAUUAUGCAUAGUAAGGGUCAAACCGCCCCAGACAGGGACACCACGUGGUUUAGAGAGGCCUCUGGCUGAGCUCCUCACCUGCUGGCAGCUUCUCGUCCUCCCCAGACCCAGCCAAAUGAGAAGCCACAGCCUGGAGACAGGAAGGACACAGUGCCUCUCCUCCCCGCAGUUGUGUUCCUAGGACUUCUACCAUGCCCU
rnacentral:lncRNA from 1 species